rnacentral:rRNA from 1 species
UACAGAGGGGGCAAGCGUUAUUCGGAAUUAUUGGGCGUAAAGGGCGCGUAGGCGGCUUGGCAAGUGGAUGGUGAAAUCCCUCGGCUUAACCGAGGAACGGCCGUCCAAACUGCUUCGCUUGAGACCGGGAGAGGUGAGUGGAAUUCCCAGUGUAGCGGUGAAAUGCGUAGAUAUUGGGAGGAACACCAGUGGCGAAGGCGGCUCACUGGACCGGUACUGACGCUGAAGCGCGAAAGCGUGGGGAGCAAACGGG